rnacentral:rRNA from 1 species
CCUACGGGGGGCUGCAGUGGGGAAUAUUGCACAAUGGGCGCAAGCCUGAUGCAGCCAUGCCGCGUGUGUGAAGAAGGCCUUCGGGUUGUAAAGCACUUUCAGCGGGGAGGAAGGCGGUGAGGUUAAUAACCUCAUCGAUUGACGUUACCCGCAGAAGAAGCACCGGCUAACUCCGUGCCAGCAGCCGCGGUAAUACGGAGGGUGCAAGCGUUAAUCGGAAUUACUGGGCGUAAAGCGCACGCAGGCGGUCUGUCAAGUCGGAUGUGAAAUCCCCGGGCUCAACCUGGGAACUGCAUUCGAAACUGGCAGGCUAGAGUCUUGUAGAGGGGGGUAGAAUUCCAGGUGUAGCGGUGAAAUGCGUAGAGAUCUGGAGGAAUACCGGUGGCGAAGGCGGCCCCCUGGACAAAGACUGACGCCCAGGUGCGAAAGCGUGGGGAGCAAACAGGAUUAGAUACCCGUGUAGUC